rnacentral:rRNA from 1 species
UACGUAGGUGUCAAGCGUUGUCCGGAUUUAUUGGGCGUAAAGCGCCCGCAGGCGGCUUGCCAAGUUCGAUGUGAAAUCUCCCGGCUCAACUGGGAGGGUGCAUCGAAAACUGGCAGGCUUGAGGCAGGGAGAGGGAUGUGGAAUUCCAGGUGUAGCGGUGAAAUGCGUAGAUAUCUGGAGGAAUACCGGUGGCGAAGGCGGCAUCCUGGACCGAGAUUGACACUGAUGAGCGAAAGCUAGGGGAGCAAACGGG